rnacentral:rRNA from 1 species
GACGAACGCUGGCGGCGGGCCUAACACAUGCAAGUCGAACGAGUGGCGGACGGGUGAGUAAUGUCUGGGAAACUGCCUGAUGGACGGGGAUAACUACUGGAAACUGUAGCUAAUACCGCCUACCUUCGGCUGUGCCCAGAUGGGAUUAGCUAGUAGGUGGGGUAACGGCUCACCUAGGCGACGAUCCCUAGCUGGUCUGAGAGGGUGCUCAGCCACACUGGAACUGAGACACGGUCCAGACUCCUACGGGAGGCAGCAGUGGGGAAUAUUGCACAAUGGGCGCAAGCCUGAUGCAGCCAUGCCGCGUGUAUGAAGAAGGCCUUCGGGUUGUAAAGUACUUUCAGCGGGGAGGCGUUACUCGCAGAAGAAGCACCGGCUAACUCCGUGCCAGCAGCCGCGGUAAUAC